rnacentral:lncRNA from 1 species
GAGGAUCUGUAACGAAACAAGCCUUGGAGGAAUUGAGUGAGUUAAAGUAAUAAAGGCCUUCUGAUUCAAGUCCUGUUUCAAUCGUCUGCCUCGUACUGCGGUCCUGCAUAAUAAAGGAAUCAUCAAUAAAAUAUAUACCACAAUGGAGGGCACGAGUCAAAUCACUAACAGGUGCAAGAUUAAAAGGACAGUCAGGACAUAGAGAACAGAAUCUAGAGUGACAGAGGGUAGUGGAUUCGCUUGUCCAACUCCUUUUGCUUUGUUUUGAGUCCCAUUGACUAAAGUAACAAUGGAAGAGACUGUGAAUACGCAAUAUUUGCCAAAAAUGAUCUAUUACCAGAGAUAUGAUCAGAAGUGACCAAGUCCACAACCCAUUAUCCAAGAGUACUAGACAGGGAAACACAAACAAAAGAAUUAACAGCAACAAAAGUAUCAGUCUAAGCAACAUAUGCUACUUGUGUAGAUAUCUGCUUACUUGCUCGAUACUGAAGGAACUCAUUAUACUCCCCUUCAGGUAAUGAAAAUCCCUAUUACCUCGGAAAAUCCCCGAUUACCUGUACUCUCAGACGGAGCAACAUAAGCAUUUUUGGGUGAGCGGCCAUGUAAAGAAUAGCACACCUCACGAGUGUGUCCAAGUUUAUGACAAUAAGAGCACUUGGGUCUAGAUCUGCCAAAACAACCUCCGCCUAGUCUAUUCUCCAUAGUAUGAUAUGCCCGAUUGUCCACUGACUGGGAUACGAGGACAGAUGAGUCAAGUAUAUGUGAUGAGCUUACUGGAUGACUUGGUGCUGCAGCAAAGCAAAGUAAUCGAGAGAAUAAUUCAUCAACUGUAAAGAUAGUCGGACUAGCCAAAAUCUGGUCACAUACUGAAUCAAGGUCAUUAGGGAGUCCAGCGAGUGUAAGAACUAGAAAUAUCUUCUGUCUUUGCUCUUGUUGCUUUUCAAUACUAGAAGAAACUGGCAUCAACGUCUCAAAUUCUUCCAUGACUGUCUCUACUUGUCCCAAGAAAGUAGACAUAUCCAAUUCUUGUUUCUUCAAACUUGUCAUUCGCGAUAUUACAUCAUAUAAACGAGAUAUGUCAUUAGUAUAUAAAUUACGAGGCUUUUCCCAAACUAAAUAACACGUCUUGAAUGGCAAGGGCAUCAACUUGGAAUCAAUAGAUCGCCACAGGAUACUACAUAACUGAGCAUCGACCUUCUCCCACAGUGUUUUGGCUUUUUCAUCACCUUCGCUAGCCUUUUUUGUUAAAUGAUCUUGAACUCCUUGACAUUUACACCACAACUCGACAGACGAAGCCCUAGCUAAGUAAUUUGAACCUCUCAUUAAAGGUUCUGAGGUAAUCAUAACACCGGAAUUGCCGGAACCCGGGUUUUUAGACCCAAAAGCAUCGACUCCAAAGACAUGGUUGGAUUAUCACCAAAUGACAAAAAGAACCAACUGACAAUUUGCUAAAACAGAUGAAGGAAACACUGUUUUUGCCGGAAAAGUAUUGUAGCUGCCGGAAAAAAUCAGUAUAGUUGCCGAAAAAAACUCAAAGUGGUCGGAAUCAAACGAAAACAGGAUGGGUGGGGUUAGAAUUAGUAGGCGACCCAACUGUUCUGAAGAAACUUUUGCAAAAUCUGACCGGAACAGUGCUCACGCGCCGGCGCGUGGGGUCAUGAGCUCGCCGGAAGAGUUCUUUUGCCGGCGCGUGUGGGCGCGUGGCAACUUUUCUGCCGGAGUCGCCAGAAAAAUUGUAUGGCAACGAGGUCUUUCUUCCCGGAAGUCGCUGGAAUGAUGCACAGCAAUAAGUUUCUCACUAAAGCUCUAAUACCAUGUGAGAAUGCAUGGGAAAAAAUUAUUAUUGAUUAAUUAACAAUGAUACAAUGAGUCUUAUAUAUAUAUAUACAUAGCAUGUCCUACUCCUAAUACAUAUGGGAUUAGGGUUAUUUACUCUUAUUCCUAUUUACAUAACUAUUCUAACAGACCCCAACUAUCACAUGACUUUUAUAACCCUAGGAUAUAUGGUCCGUUGUAGGCCAGCUUCAACAGCAUAAAAUAACACUAAUUACUGCUAAGUGAUGAUUCUCAACCCACACCAAUCAUCAUUUCCCUUAUCUUCCAUUAAACCACCCAGGAGUAGGAGCUAGAUCUAUUGUGAGACUCCAGUUCCAAGAAAUUGUGUCAACCUUCAUCUACGGUGUAUAAAAAUAUAGCUCCUAACUUAAACAGGACCAUUUCUGAUGUACUCGUGCAACUGCAAGGUCUUUUCACUCCUUACAGAUAACGUAGCAUGGUGCAGACACAAAGUAACAGGCAAAAGCAAAUACAAAUGUGAGAUAAUUUCACCCAUUUGAUUCGCAUUCAUCAGUGGAUUUCUUCUAUUUUAUAAGUGCUCCUCCUGCUGAAAUUUCAUCUAAAAAUUCUAGUAAACAUUCUAAUGUCCUUUUUCCUGUUAUGCUAUGCAAAACAUAAAACUCAAUUCAACUAGGGGUGUUCAUGGUACAGUACGGUAUGGUACAGUUUUGAACAUUCUGGUUCGGUAAUUUCUGUUAACGGUAUGGUCUGGUAUUUUAAGCUUGGUUUCGAUUUUGUGCGAUACGGUAAGUCGGUAAGUACGGUUUGUUCGACUUCGACUUACAUACAGUAGAGAAUUGUAUCAACAUCAUCCUGUUAAACAAAUUGAGAAGGUGGCAUACAUAUAAGAUUUGUAGCACACAUUUUUUUCAACUUACAGUUGAUAACACAUUGUAACACUGAAAAUAGAGUAGCCAUUUAAUAUAUUAGAAGAAUGGAACUUGGGGAAUUACAUGACAUCUUCUCACCCAUCUAGGGGUCCCAAUGUCCUAUAAAUACUCAUAAAAAAUCCUAAAGACAAAUGGUAAUGAGUAAAUAGUAAUCUGCAUACUUUAAGUAUUUAGUUUACAUUUAGUAGUAUAGACAAGAAGGUUUUAGUUUGAAGGAUUUUAGGCCUUUUAUUACUAAUUAACGAAACAAUUAGUAUCUAUAUUUAUAUAUGUAUCAUUAGAACCGUACAUCUUUCUUAGCAUCCACCACGUCAAGGUGAGUAGGUGACACUACCAUUGAGUUAUAUUAGAGGUGGAACAGAAUAACCCGGUUGAAGCGUAAAUCACGACCCUUUGUCCAGGGCAUUGUAGCACACCAAGAGCACUCAUCCAUAAACCGGUUACUGGUACAAAUAACAUCCUAAUGGAAUAGGCAACAAAGCCACCUCGCCACUUCUUCUAGUUUGUGGGGAGUAUAUACAACUCUUUUUUAGGCUAUGGGUCCAUCAAAGUGCGUGUGUGUAUACAUAUAUAUAUAUCCAAAUGACAAAAAGAACCAACUGACAAUUUGCUAAAACAGAUGAAGGAAACACUGUUUUUGCCGGAAAAGUAUUGUAGCUGCCGGAAAAAAUCAGUAUAGUUGCCGAAAAAAACUCAAAGUGGUCGGAAUCAAACGAAAACAGGAUGGGUGGGGUUAGAAUUAGUAGGCGACCCAACUGUUCUGAAGAAACUUUUGCAAAAUCUGACCGGAACAGUGCUCACGCGCCGGCGCGUGGGGUCAUGAGCUCGCCGGAAGAGUUCUUUUGCCGGCGCGUGUGGGCGCGUGGCAACUUUUCUGCCGGAGUCGCCAGAAAAAUUGUAUGGCAACGAGGUCUUUCUUCCCGGAAGUCGCUGGAAUGAUGCACAGCAAUAAGUUUCUCACUAAAGCUCUAAUACCAUGUGAGAAUGCAUGGGAAAAAAUUAUUAUUGAUUAAUUAACAAUGAUACAAUGAGUCUGCAUAUUAAUCAAGUAUUUCGGUUUCGGUAAUUCCGUAUUUACCAAAUUAUACACAACCCAAACUCAACUACAACUCAAUCCCACAUUAGUUGGUUUCAACUAAAUGAAUCCUUAUCCAUUCCACUCUAUCUUCAAAAUUCAAAGAGCUGUGAGCAUUUCUACGCUAAUGUCGACCUUUAUGCUUGUAAAGCUCCCAUAAUUUGAGUCCAUACACAGAAAAUUAGUACCAAAAAUUAACAAUAUGAGUUUUCAAGUUAACCGAGUACCUGAAGAAUAAGUUCCUGAGGAGUAGCCAUAAUCGGCUCCUCCGCCGGUGAAGAGUCAAUCUGCAUUCGGAACAUUAACCGAAUCCAAUUGGCGCAAGUACAAUUCCCAAUUCCACAAUUAUCGUUCCCCAGGGCUGAACUGUAGUGUCAGUCUUACACUAUCAAAUGUUCAGUUUUCAAACUCUAGUGCAUACGAUCCUUGAAUUGGUUUUCAGGUCUCAGAUUUUUCGUGUACAUUUGUAAAUGGAUAUUCUGUGAAAUUCCGCUAGAACCAUAGGUAAUAUUCCACUAAUGCAUAUAUUACACACUAAUCAUUGGACAAAUCAAAUAUAUUUU